AUAAAUAGAGUAGUUCAUAGAUUUUCAAACUACUAAAUUUCAAUCUUUUUCUCUCGCUCCCUCUUUCUAUCAUUUUAAAUCCAGAAGCCCUAAACUCUGCUCUGUAAUCAGCGUGCUAACCCGGAUCACUGGUACGAUACCUUGUCCGAUUGAUCUGAAACCCAUCAACGGAUGUCAAAGUGCUGCCUGGAUAAGGCUAUACUUUGCUAACUACGUUGGGGUUUUGAUCUCGUGAUUAUCGUUAGAGUUUAAAUUGGGUUAAUACAGUAAUACGUGUUAUAGUGUUUGUUUAUUAGGAAUCCAAGCUUAAUACCAGGAGGCUAUAAAAAUCAAAACCCUAAAUCUACAAAGUGACUUACUGUGAAAGUGAAGAAAUAUGUUACGAAGCACCGAAGGCUUAAAUAAAGUAGCUAUGUUACCAUAGUAAAAGAAAGAAAAUGUGUUUUGUAAAAAUAGGGUUUAUCUCUGUAAAAAAAAAAAUCUUUUGUUGUAAUUUGGCUUUUAUUCCAUCUAUUUAAUAUUAAAAACAUUGGUUUUUUACAACUUUGAAAUUUUUCUAACUACGGUCCUGAUAAAAGUUUCCGUUACGAAUUUACUAAACACCGAUACCACUGCUGCAUCUGUCCGCGGCUCCCGCUCAGGGUCGGAUCGAGGGUCCUGACAGGCGAUAUGUGGUGCAAGUUUUGAUCAGAGUGUUGAAGAUACGGAAGGAGAUUGUGUGGUGGAGGUGUGGUAAUGGAACCCACCAAUUCUUCAAAUCAAGGACAAGUUGAUACAUGUAUAUAUUGUAUUAAAAAGGUGUCAUUUUCACAAUAAAAGUGUUAAUAAUGGAUUGACAAAAAUACUUAAA